AACGCGAAGAACCUUACCAGGGUUUGACAUACAAUGGACCGGGUAUGAAAGUACCCUUCUCUUCGGAGCCGUUGUACAGGUGCUGCAUGGCUGUCGUCAGCUCGUGUCGUGAGAUGUUCGGUUAAGUCCGGCAACGAGCGCAACCCCUGUCCUUUGUUGCUAACAGGUUAUGCUGAGGACUCUAAGGAGACAAACCUACUCUGUAGGUGGGAAGGUGGGGAUGACGUCAAGUCCGUAUGGCCCUUACACCCUGGGCUGCACACGUGCUACAAUGCCUGGUACAAUGGGAUGCAAUGUCGCGAGGCGGAGCUAAUCCUAAAAGCCAGGCCCAGUUCAGAUUGGAGUCUGCAACUCGACUCCAUGAAGCCGGAAUCGCUAGUAAUGGCGUAUCAGCUAUGGCGCCGUGAAUACGUUCCCGGGCCUUGUACACACCGGUAUCUC
rnacentral:rRNA from 1 species